AGAGGCUUAGGAUAAAUUAGACCAAGGGCCUUCAAAGCCCUCAGUGAGGGUGAAAAUCCCCCAGCCCCUG
rnacentral:tRNA from 1 species